GAGUAAAUUAUCCUAUUAGAAUAUUUAGAAUUUGUCAUUUUGGGAGCAGUUAACACACAUUUGUCUGAUCCGUUUUUUAUCAUAUUUAUUUAUUCAUCUAUCUAAACUGUAGGAGUGUUGAAGGGCUGCAGCUCGCAUGCUGCAGCGUGGCGGUUCAUUGAGUUUCUGAUUGACAGCGUGGGAGAGAAGAUGUCGUCUGUCGCCCAGCAGCAGAGAGAACGAACAGACAUUCGUAACUCUGAAGUUGCACUUGACUGCGUCAUUAGAGACGCUCACACGUCCCGAUGAACUUGGGGUUUGAAUUUGCUUUAUUUGUAGAGAAUUGAACUUGUUUGUGCUUUGAGUUGCCUGACUUCAUUUUUUAGAAGCAUUCAUGUUUUAAUCAAAAUGUUCCCUAUCGGAAACAUGUUCAUUGACUAAAUAUUCUCUCAUCCUCCCGCCUGAUGUCUGAUUACAGGAGGAAGUGAGUCAACAAUUGAAAUCAUGCUUAAAAUGUCGACUGAAACCUUUGUGUGUCAUUAAAUACACAAACGCUCAUUAACUCAAGAUCAUUGUUGUUUCACUUCAUUCAAGUCAACGAGUAAUAAAGAACAUGUGAUUCUCUUUGGUCUGAAGAAAACAAGACGGAUUCAUUUGGUUUUAUUUUUAUUAAAAUUUAUUUUCAUUGUUAAAAUAAUAAACAGACGACAUAUUUAACAAUUAUAAUAACACAAUCAUUGGGAAAACAUCUGAAGCAGUUCCUGAGAAGAGAGAAAAGAAGAAAAGUUAUUUACAUAUUAAUGUUGUUAGUGUGUCUGUGUGUACAUCUAAUUGUUAGUGUGUCUUUGUGUACAUCUAAAUAUUAGUGUGUGUCUUUGUGUACAUCUAAAUAUUAGUGUGUGUCUUUUUGUACAUCUAAAUGUUAGUGUGUCUUUGUUUAGAACCAAAUGUUAGUGUGUCUGUGUGUACAUCUAAUUGUUAGUGUGUCCCGAUGACGUAGCGUCCCGAUGACGUGGCGUCCUGAUGGCGUCCUGUUGGUCUGCAGACAAGGAGAAGAGACGUGAGGAGGAUCAUCAGGAUGUGUCCGUGUGUACAUCUAAUUGUUAGUGUGUCUGUGUGUGGAUCUAAUUGUUAGUGGGUCCGUGGGUACAUUUAAAUAUUAAUGUGUUUUUGUGCAGAACCAGAUGUUUGUGUGUUUUUGUGUAAUUCUGAAUACUAAUGUGUCUGUGUGUACAUCUAAUUGUUAUUGUGUCUUUGUGUACAUCUAAAUGUCAGUGUGUGUCUUUGUGUAGAACCAAAUGUUAGUGUGUCUGUGUGUACAUCUAAUUGUUAGUGUGUCUGUGUGUACAUCUAAAUGUUAGUGUGUCUGUUUGUACAUCUAAAUAUUAAUAUGUCUUUGUGUACAUCUAAAUAUUAGUGUGUGUCUUUGUUUAGAACCAAAUGAUAGUGUGUAUGUGUGUACAUCUAAUUGUUAGUGUGUCUGUGUGUACAUCUAAAUAUUAAUGUGUCUUUGUGUACAUCUAAAUAUUAGUGUGUGUCUUUGUUUAGAACCAAAUGUUAGUGUGUCUGUGAGUACAUCUGUGUGUGUGUGUGUGUGUGUGUGUGUGUGUGUGUGUGUCAUGAGUAGAUCUGGAUUUGCUCCUGAGGGGUUGACGAGGUGUCCUGAUGGCGUCCUGAUGGCGUCCCGUUGACGUGGCGUCCUGAUGGCGUCCCGUUGACGUGGCGUCCUGAUGGCGUCCUGAUGGCGUCCCGUUGGUCUGCAGACAAGGAGAAGAGACGUGAGGAGGAUCAUCAGGAUGUGAGACAAGAUUCAUAGAUCCAAUUAUUUUAAUUUGAUGCACAUUUUAAUUAUUUCAUGUUUGUAUGGAUGUGUAAAUCUACAUUAUAUAUUUGUGGUUGUUAAACUGUAUUUCUGUAUUUGCUUUUUAUGUUUAGCUAGUCUCUGUGCAUACCAAUAUGUUAGGCGUCUCUGUGUAAGUACUUUUUACAUUACAUUACAUUUCAUUUAGCUGACGCUUUUAUCCAAAGCGACUUACAAUAAGUGCAUUCCACCCAUAGAGUACAAACUCAGAAGUGCAAUUUUCUUCAAAUAACUUUUAUAUGUUAAUGCGUCUCUGUGUACAUCUACAUGACAACAGCAGGAAUCAGAGGUUUAUCUCAAGGUAUUAGCUCUAAAUCACAGCCUUCUCCACCCGAUAGACCAUACAUCAUUCACAGCAGUAAGGCUGCAGUCUGUCUGGAUUCCUCACUUACCUUGAGCUCUGUUAAGUGCAGCAGAACGCGUCUUCGUCCCCUCUACAGACUCCUGAGGCAUUACAUGGUUGCUUUCUGCAAGUGUAGGUCCGGAAAACUUCAGUGUGUAGAUGCGAGGUUUGAAACUGACUGACUGGAUGUGUAACAGACUGUGUUCUUAUGCUGUGGUGAACGGAGCAUAGAACAUGGAACAUGGAACAUGGAGAAAUGUUCCAUCAUGAUGUAACGUCUCUAUGGUUACAGUGAAGGUAUCUACAAUAUGCAAAUGAGCCUUUAGAGUAAAUGUGUGUGGACGGUGUAUUUGUAUUGAUGGAGCUCAUCCACUUGACAUGGUGCAUAAAACACUUUGCUCUACUUGUUUUUUUCUAUGACCCCAUCUUGAUCUUGAAAGCAAACACUUUAAGAAUAAAUAAAGAACGAUUUUUGUCCAUUGUUUCAUCAAGUCGGAAAUUUGUAAACUGUUGAAUCCGGAUUCUUAAACAUCCCUUUCGAGCCCUCUUGUCUCCAGUCUUCAUGCUAAGCUAACCAGCGGCUGGCUGUAGCUUCACGUUGAGCGUGCAGACUCAUGUCUGGUACGGAUGAGUAUCGUUUGGGUUUUUCCGAUACCGAUCCUAAACAGAGCCUGAACCCAAACACAAUUGAAGAAAAGUUUUUUUUCACUUCAAACUAUGCACAAUAUAUAAACUUUUGAAAGUUUACAGUAUGAUUACAGUGUUUCCCCUCUGUAACAGCGGAAGUGUAGUUAAUUGGAAUUUGGGGAAUAUUAAUCAUUUAAUUUGAGAUUCAUGUUCAU
ensembl:lncRNA